rnacentral:rRNA from 1 species
UACGGAGGGGGCUAGCGUUGCUCGGAAUCACUGGGCGUAAAGCGCACGUAGGCGGAUUGCUAAGUCAGGGGUGAAAUCCUGGAGCUCAACUCCAGAACUGCCUUUGAUACUGGUGAUCUUGAGUCCGGGAGAGGUGAGUGGAACUGCGAGUGUAGAGGUGAAAUGCGCAGAUAUCAGGAGGAACACCAAUGGCGAAGGCAGCUCGCUGGAACGGUACUGACGCUGAGGCGCGAAAGC